rnacentral:miRNA from 1 species
ACCCGUGACAGUCAAACGCUUUGGCAUCAAAGCGUUUGGCCGUCACAAA